AUAGAAUGACCACCCUAUGAUUGUACUAUUGAAAGGAGAGUGUUUUUGAUGUAAAUUCAAACGAAAACCUAUUGCAUGACUCUCCCUCACUUGAUGUUUAAAAUCAAUGGGUGAUCCUCAAUAUGAUAAUACGAGAAAAGGGCUGCAGAUAUCAUGAUGUGAUGUGAUUUGAUUGACUUGCAAGUCAGGAUAUGACGAUACCUGGUGAUUAUAUGCCCUUAACACGAUAAGUAGUGAAUGUUUUGAUAGUAUGAAGC
rnacentral:lncRNA from 1 species